CUGGUGUCAGCCGCCGCGGUAAAACCAGCACCUCAAGUGGUCAGGAUGAUUAUUGGGCCUAAAGCAUCCGUAGCCGGCUCUGUAAGUUUUCGGUUAAAUCUGUACGCUCAACGUACAGGCUGCCGGGAAUACUGCAGAACUAGGGAGUGGGAGAGGUAGACGGUACUCGGUAGGAAGUGGUAAAAUGCUUUGAUCUAUCGAUGACCACCUGUGGCGAAGGCGGUCUACCAGAACACGUCCGACGGUGAGGGAUGAAAGCUGGGGGAGCAAACCGGAUUAGAUACCCGGGUAGUCCCAGCUGUAAACUAUGCAAACUCAGUGAUGCAUUGGCUUGUGGCCAAUGCAGUGCUGCAGGGAAGCCGUUAAGUUUGCCGCCUGGGAAGUACGUACGCAAGUAUGAAACUUAAAGGAAUUGGCGGGGGAGCACCACAAGGGGUGAAGCCUGCGGUUC
rnacentral:rRNA from 1 species